GAUGCAUAUUCUAAAUACUUAACCUCUCAUUAUGUUAGAGAUAAACCACUGAUGCUUGAUCUUUAUCCAGUGAUGCCUGCCUUAGUAGUGGGUUUGCUGAGAGCCAUAUAAGGUACUGAGUGUGGCAUGUCUUUUGGAAACGGAACUGGAUUCCCAACUGUGGCUGUGAAUCUGCAUGCAACAGGGAGUCAGACCAAUUCGGAGUGGUGUGUUAACGGUAUGGAAAGCUGAGCUAAUGGCAGCUAUUGCAAAGAAAGUGGCUUACAUUAAAAAGCAAAUGACAAGAACACACAUUGCUGGAUGAUGCGAGAAGAGAAAACAGCUGUCGUUGAUUCUGCAUGAAAUGAAUUGUUACAGUCCAAUUUCACUGGGUAGAAACCUACAGCAAGCAUCUGUUUUCACAUUUGGUGCUAACCAGGAUGCAUGGAAAGAACAUUUUGAUCAGGCUGGGAUUUAAACAGCAAUAUCAAAGUCCUGGAGAUAACAUUCCUUCAGACAAAAUCCCUGUUAAUAACAAGCUAGGAAAUGCUGUUACUUUCCCAUACUCUGAUACAAGUGGUACAAAGUAACAACCCAAGGAGGAAUUCAUAACAAGCUGGCCAAAUCAUCUUACCAGAAGGAAAAGUGGGCUAAUAACAACCCAGCAUAUCUGCCAGAACAAGCCUGGACUGAAACCAAGCAUCUCUUUAAUAUCCCGGCAAAAACGUUUCAUUCCUAAAACAAGAAGAAGAGAAAAAGUGAACAUGAAACAAGCCCAACAGUUCAAAGUUCUGAUUAAGGAUCUCCAACCUGAAACACUGAGUCCAUUUCUCGUCACACAGAUGUGGCCUGAUCUGCUGAGUAUUUCCAGCAUUUUCUGGUUUUUUUUUCGUUCAAAGUUUGGUUGUUGACUAUCCUUCAUUUACAUUAACCCAUGUGAUACAGUAAUCCCACGUGAGAAUACAACAACAGAUUUAAACUAUUUGAAGUUUGACUAGUCCCAGCAAA